UGAAUCUUUAAAUCAGUCCAGAGAGGCUGGCAAGGUUACGGUGUAACACAGUAUUUUAACGCUUCAAAAUGCUUUGUAUUUUGAAGGUUAAAACGUAGCUUCUUGCUGGUAUGCAAGAAGCUUUUUUAUU
rfam:Alkaliphilus metalliredigens QYMF, complete genome.